CUUAUGUUCCAGUUUCCUUUCUCCUCCCAACAUUUCCUGUCUACACAACAGCAGUUCCUCACCGCACGGGUAUAACAAGGAAGUGGGGGCGGGAGAAAGCACAGAUCAGAUCGGCCGUGUUCACUUCGCAGUGGGAGAAACCCAUUAAAGCAGCAAACCAUGGGAAAACCCACUGCGAAGCACUGCAUGCAUUAACAGCCUUCCCCAAAGCAGAAGUAUUCAACAUGACCUGUUAAACAAUGCAAGAAAUGGUAUUAAGUAAAAAUAUAAUGCAGAAAGCCCUCCCGUAGGAUGUGGGCGACUGCAGAGCACAGCAUGUGUACGAGCAGUGGUUGAUCUUGCCCGCUGGCAGGGCGGCAGCGGAAGAGGGUGCUGCUGAGCGGUCAUGGCCAAGCGCAGGAGGAGAGGCGGGCCUAUCUCCCCACACGAUGGAUUACGUGGUUCUUAACUCCCCACCCCUCAUAUUUUCCAGGCUGGCCCCGAUAAAAGCACCAACUUGACCGUGAAUCUCAGUCAGGAUAUUGCCCAUCUCAAGAAACUGCUUGCUUCCGUCAACCAGAUGCUCAUGAAGGGAAGAGAACACUACCAGCUACUAGAAUGAAAUUCCUGGGUGGUCGUUCCUUUGAGGGUAGCGGAAGGCACUGUAUUUUAUAUUUUGCCAAAUUAAAGCCUUAUUUAUGUGCUCACCCUUUCUACUUCGUCAAACACCGAGUCGGGCGUUGUCUUUUCUACUCCUCGUUAGACUACUGAUUUAAACCAGAUGAAGAAGACUCUGUAGACACUCCAGAGUUUAGUUUUAUAAUUUAAAAAAGAUAAAGCGGUUUGGAUAAUUAGAGCUUUACAUUCCUUGGAGCUACAGUAAACGUGUAACCUUUUAUCUUUACUAUGCUCAGUGAAACUUGUUCAGACACACACCUGACGUAGCAACGACAGCCGUGAACAAAUAACCUUUUAAUACUGACGGUAUGCACACUUUUACUUAGAUACGUUUUGGAAGUAGCGGCCUCCGACUUCCACCUUCAAGUAAACAUUCUUCUUCUUUUUUUUUUUUGGUUGCUUAUGUAAUCCAUUUUUGUAAUGGUGUCAGCAAAUAAAGGGAUGCUUAUUACUCA